GCCGAGCUGAGCAACGCAAGCUUGUAACCCAAGUGGGGGCAUCGAAGUGUUGAAACGCUGGCUCAGCUAUAGCGGGUCUGGUCAUGCAUGGGCAAUGUUCUGGCCUGCCCGUUCCAAGCAAGGAGUUGAGCCAUGUGGCUUGGGCGAAGGCUCUGGGCUUCAUGGUUCCUAGAGUGGAUGGCACUGCGUCAGGCUGGUUUCACAGACCAAUGAUUACAACACAAGCUUGUAACCCGAGUGGGGGCUUUGAGGUGUUGGAAUAUUGGCCAAGAAUUAGCGGGUCUGGUGAACAACAACUGCU
rnacentral:SRP_RNA from 1 species